GUACAGAACGAGGACGCAUCCAAGGUUGAGUAUAGGGUGUGGAACCCCUUCAGAUCCAAGCUGGCUGCUGCUGUGCUCGGUGGUGUGGACAACAUCUGGAUUGCUCCUGGAACACGUGUGCUGUACCUCGGAGCUGCCUUUGGAACAACCGUGCCUCAUGUGUCUGACACUGUUGGAACGACUGGGUUGGUGUAUGCCGUUGAGUUCUCUCACCGGAGUGGUAGGGAUCUUGUCAACAUGGCCAGGAAGAAGACCAAUGUCAUCCCCAUCACUGAGGAUGCUAGGCACCCGACAAAGUAACGGAUGCUGGUCGGCAUGGCUCAAGCUGUACCAGAUCAAGGUAUCUUGCUUUCCAUGUUCUCCCCUUUCUUUAUGCUUGCUAGCUGCAUCUGGCGCAAAGCUCGGUUUCUUCUGCUCCUAAUUCAGUGCUGCAGAUGCAGCUCAUUGGUUGCAUGGUCUUCGGUUUUGUUGUGCUGA
rnacentral:rRNA from 1 species